rnacentral:lncRNA from 1 species
GUCCAGCGGCGGGGGACUCGGCCGUGGAGGGCGCUGUUCGGUCUGCAUGGCUCCCCCCAUCAGCGGGAGGCUACACCCCCCACCAGCAGGGGCAAGAGGAGCAGCGGGAUGGGAGCAGGCCAACGUCCUGCGGCCUGGUUGAGCUCGCACUGACAAUCGCAGCUCAGGCGCUCAGGACUGCCAGGACCCAGAGGAUUCACACGACAGCCCCGGCUGAAGCCCAGCUCCUCAUCAACCGGUGAGCCGCCUGCCAGCUCCUGCUCCAGCUGCUGAGAAGCCUGAAGAGACCAAGACAGAGACACAGCCCCGCAGCACCACAGGGAGGCCCCAGUUACCCCAUGCGGAUGAGUUUCAUGGCCAUCUCUAACUAAGGACAGGACAUCGAUGUCAUCUGUAACUUCCAGUGCACUGGGGCACACAGCUGCAUCUCCCCAUGCUCACCUCCUGCCUCUUGCUCUGCCCAGUAAGCUCGCCAACCCCCGUGGACUGCUGGCUCUCAAGGCGACCGCUAGCCCAGCUCCGACAGCAGCUGACAAUGCACAGUAUGCGGCCCGGGACAGGCCCUGUGCUGAGAGGCAUGGGUGAAUCGCUCAUUUCAUCGGCAAGCCCACGCCACCAGCAGGCGCCGUUCUCCUCGCA